ensembl:lncRNA
CAGACAAGCAUAUGGCAAAUAUCCUGAUGCUACUCAAUUGUAGUAUGUAUCUAUACAAAUGUAAUUAGAACAAAGCUUAUUUUUGAGCUGCUCUGGUAUGAACUUCUUGAGAGUAAUAUGACCUCAGUGUGUGCAAGAACAUUAGUACAAAAUUAUUCAUCAAUAAAUCACUCAGCAAAUAAUUCUCCCUCCCUGACAUCCUGAUUCCUAAUUACCUUGCUGUCUUUCGUUUUCUAAUGGUAGCUGAAUCCCCAGUCAAUUGCCUAGUAGGGAACCUAGCAAAGAAAAAAAUCUGCUGGAAAGAAACUGUGCAAAGCUAGCAACACRAGACAGCCUAAGGGAAGAGUCUGAAAUAGGGUGUGCUGCAAAAAAGUUUUCAUGGCUAUUUACUUUCAUUUCCCCCUCCACUUUCAUGGAUUUCAGAGAUUCUUUUCUUCACUGAUCUGUUCUUUGUUGUGCUGUCCUAGGGCAUGAGAGUGGUGGAGUUUGUUGUGGGAAAAGAUAACAGGUAUUUCAUGGAUCUUACUGUCCUCUUGGCAGUCUCUUUGAAUUUGAAUAAACACCCCUUUUUUUGAGGUUCAGUUUUGAAAACACUGGACCUCCAUAGAAAGGAGAGUCUUGAAUGAGGGUGGGGAAGAGUCCUCAGGAAGAGCAGUCAUUGCACAAGGGAUGCCCCAUGCAUCCAGCUUCUUGUUUUCCUUACUUCAUAUCACAUUGUGCCCUGAGAUAGUGUCACAUCUGGCAGCCACCAAUAUGCCUGUCUCUGCUUUACCUCUGGUCUAACAUGUCAAAGCAAGGAGAAAAUGCCCUAUUCAGAAAGAUACACCAGCAAAACAGUGGUUUUACAUAUGCUAUUCCUUCUGUUCAGCUUUGCAGACUCCAAAAUCCUAAAGACAAGAUGUUGCACAAUUAAAGCAGAUGUAGCAAGAGUGGAGUCGCUUCAGUUUGGGCCAACACAUACUCAGUGUCAUUAUACUAACUUAAAAGCUGCCCUGAGAAUCAAAGGGAUCCCUUGUCUUCAAAACACAAAUGUACGUCUUUUGCUUCCUGCCCUGUAUGGAGAUGUUGAUCAGCAGAAAGCCAGUGCUAUCCACAUGGGCACCCCAGGUGGGGUCUAAGGCUGGUUUCUCCUCUUUCUCACCAGCACAGUGGAUGACUUGCAGGGCUAUUUUGCUUAGCUUAGGUUGCCUUUACAGUUGGCUUCAGAUGGUGGACGAUUGCCUCGAAUCUCAAAUCACACGACCCUGCUGCUUUCUACCACGCUGGAGCUAACAGAGGAGGCCAGCAGGGUCUUUCACCUUGCAGCAUUAAGAAAGCUUGAAYUCCAUCCAAAGUGAGCUCCUCGGUGUGCACAGCUGGAUCAGGAGCUGCAUUGACUCCCAUAGUCUUUGGCUCCACCACCAAGCCCUGUCUGAGGAUAUGAGGCUUGGACACCCACCGAGGUCUCAGGGAAGACUUUCAUUCACUUGAGUGGGUAUUAGAGCAUAAAAGUAGCUGAAUGGGCAACUCUUUCUGAUGUUCUCCCUGGCUUAACUUUCUCAUGARAUCAGUUCUGGAUUUAGAAUUUUAUUCUUAAACUGUG